UACGUAGGGGGCAAGCGUUGUUCGGAAUGACUGGGCGUAAAGGGUGCGUAGGCGGUGUAGCAAGUUAGAAGUGAAAUACCUAGAGCUUAACUCAGGUGCUGCUUCUAAAACUGCUAUACUUGAGUGCAGUAGAGGAAAGUGGAAUUCCUAGUGUAGCGGUGAAAUGCGUAGAUAUUAGGAGGAACACCAGUGGCGAAGGCGGCCUGCUGGGCUUUUACUGACGCUGAGGCUCGAAAGUGUGGGGAGCAAACAGG
rnacentral:rRNA from 1 species